GUCAGAGUGUCGGUGAGUCGACG
rnacentral:miRNA from 1 species